UACGGGGGGGGGCAAGCGUUGUUCGGAAUUACUGGGCGUAAAGGGCGCGUAGGCGGCUCGCUAAGUCGGAUGUGAAAACUCUGGGCUCAGCCCAGAGCCUGCAUUCGAAACUGACGAGCUCGAGUUCUGGAGGGGAAAGCGGAAUUCCUGGUGUAGCGGUGAAAUGCGUAGAUACCAGGAGGAAAACCGGUGGCGAAGGCGGUUUCCUGGCCCAGUACUGACGCUGAGGCACGAAAGCGUGGGGAGCGAACGGG
rnacentral:rRNA from 1 species